GCCUGGUUGGCUCAGUUGGAAGAGUAUCUGACUCUUGAUCUCAAAGUCAUGAGUUUGAGCCCCAUAUUGGGUA
rnacentral:tRNA from 1 species